UACAGAGGUCUCAAGCGUUGUUCGGAUUCAUUGGGCGUAAAGGGUGCGUAGGCGGCGCGGCAAGUCGGGUGUGAAAUCUCGGAGCUUAACUCCGAAACUGCAUUCGAUACUGCCGUGCUUGAGGACUGGAGAGGAGACUGGAAUUUACGGUGUAGCGGUGAAAUGCGUAGAUAUCGUAAGGAAGACCAGUGGCGAAGGCGGGUCUCUGGACAGUUCCUGACGCUGAGGCGCGAAGGCCAGGGGAGCAAACGGG
rnacentral:rRNA from 1 species